AACGAACGCUGGCGGCAGGCUUAACACAUGCAAGUCGAACGCAUCCUUCGGGGUGAGUGGCAGACGGGUGAGUAACGCGUGGGAACGUGCCCUUCAGUUCGGGAUAAACCAGGGAAAAUUGGGCUAAUACCGGAUACGUGCGAGAGCAGAAAGAUUUUGCGCUGAAGGAUCGGUCCGCGUCUGAUGAGCUAGUUGGUGGGGUAAUGGCCCGCCAAGGCGACGAUCAGUAGCUGGUCUGAGAGGAUGAUCAGCCACAUUGGGACUGAGACACGGCCCAAACUCCUACGGGAGGCAGCAGUGGGGAAUAUUGGACAAUGGGCGCAAGCCUGAUCCAGCCAUGCCGCGUGAGUGAUGAAGGCCUUAGGGUUGUAAAGCUCUUUCGCCCGGGACGAUAAUGACGGUACCGGAAGAAGAAGCCCCGGCUAACUUCGUGCCAGCCGCCGCGGUAA
rnacentral:rRNA from 1 species